UAUAUUCUGACACUAGUUUGCAUUAUUUACACUUUGUUUUGUCAGAAUACUACAAUACCCAUGAGCCUCGGCUGCUGUUGCUAAACAAAACUCGUUAAAAGUGAACUCGUUUAAUCUGCAGAUUGUGAAACCAGUUUUCUCAACAUCGUGAUCUUUAGCUUUUACCAGCUGUUAGUAAAUAAAUUCUUUAUGUCCACAGUCUAGUAUCUUCUUCUAACACAGUUGUUCAUCUUUUGCUCUGAUGGCUCAACAAGGAGUUUCAUAUUGAUCCAAACUGCAGAGGAGAGAAUUGAGUUUCACUAACUCACGGUCUCCUCCCACUUCACACCUCUAUUUCCCCGCCAGAACUCCUGGUGGCGCUGUAACAUUUCUGCACAUGCUACGUUAGCUACAGUGCUAAUGCUGCUGCAGUAGAAGUUUCAGAGACUCCAACAGUGUUUUUAUAACAAACCUGUAGCUGCAUCUGCAUGCUGAUAUUUCACCAAAAGUCAAGCAGUGAUCAACAGUGAUUGGCUGCGCCCACAGGGGUCAACGCAACUCUACAAGUGGUGAAAUUUCAAUAUAAUUUACUGUAGUCGGCCUCUAAAAAAUACCCCCCAUGUCCAAUAAAGGUCAGGACAUGACAUCAGUGUGCUCACUGGGCUCAUGACACACAUUCAUACCUUCAAAAUACUAAAUGAGUCCCUUUGAAUUCAUAUUUUGUGCCUUUGACUCUGUAAACCGCAGGCCGUGCAGACUGCAGACGGUAGAUCAGAUGUUUUGUGGUCAUCAUCGGGGUGGAGCUCAGUCAGCACAGCUUUCACUCUUUAACAGAUAAAAUCCUGCAGGCGGAUCCACUCGAUCAGAACAAGAUCAGAACAAGAUCUCCAUGACCAAACUCUCCCCGCCGGCUUUCUGACGCUUGUUAAUUAAUUGUCUCUGCACUAACAUCUGUCGUCUCUGGAGUCCCGCCGCGCGGUGCUGCGAUUCAACAUUUAUACAUGCUUCCUUACAGCAUCCGCAGUUUUAAUGAUGAAGCAUAUGGAAUACAGCCGAGCAGCAGAAGAAGAAGAAGGACGUUCAGGCUGCGAUGGCGCUCAGCUGUGACUGAGCUGCACUGAUCACAACCUCACAAACAAAUACAUCUGGUGAAAUCAGCACAAAUGUAAUAAAACAUAUGCAGUAAAGUAGGUGUUACAGACUGAAAAGUGCUGAUUAACUUCAAACUAAACAGUUAGAAAUUAACACGAUAUUUAUAAGUUUGAUCUGACGAGUAUUUAGCGAAUUUAUGGGCAAAAAUGUGAAACUAAAGUAAGUGAACUCAACCAGUUGUCCACCAUUAACUGGUUGACCAGAAAGAUUUUAACCUUAGCAUGACAGUUAAACUGCUUGGUCAGUUAGCUAACAGUUCAUUUUAACAGUUAAAACAGUUUGAUUCAAGUUAGUUAUGUUUAGUUUAAGUUAGAUAAAGAGUUAUCAACCACAACAGGAUUAGCUAUCAGUCAGUUUUAGUGGUUUAAACAGUUUGUUUAAGGUUAGCUAGCAGCUCUGUUUACUCUCAGUCAUUCUCACUUUUCUCUUCCUGUAAAACAUUAAAAUAAGUUUGAUGACUCCUCUUGAACUUUAUUUGUGUAUUUAAUCAAAUGUGAUGUGGGGAGACAAGCUAACCUGGUCCAUUGUAUAAACUCACACCUGACCGUUAGCUCGUUAGCUAACAGAGCGAUAUCUUAGCAGGACGUGUAUUUGGAUUUCAGCUGUUUUCAGGUCAUAUCGUACUGUAAUCCUCUUGUAACUGUGUACCGCCCACAUAUUCUGCUUCACUGGGAGGUACAGAAGCUAUAGAUGUUCUGACUUAACUAUGAACUUUAACAAACUGUGUUAACGUACACUGUCCAGUUAGUGACCAAGCUAACAAGCUUACUGACAGUCGCUGCUGUACAGUCAGAUCUGUUCAACAGGCAGAGACGUUGUUGAGGUUUUUGCUUUUGAAGAUUAACAGACAAGAAAGAGCUUCAGCUGAUGAUCUAGCAGAAAUGGAAUAUAAUAUUCGAGACGCCUGCAGAGAAAGAGACGCUUCCACCUUCACCGGCAGCUCGGCCUGGCCCACAUCCCUGAGAGUGUGUUACAGCGUCGGUUUCGUGGAGACGGUGAUGAUGUCACAGCGCAGGCAGGUACAGGUGUGUUGAAGCUGAGCUGCUGCCGUCGGCAGUGUGGAAAC